rnacentral:rRNA from 1 species
GACGAACGCUGGCGGCGUGCUUAACACAUGCAAGUCGAACGGAAAGGCCCUGCUUUUGUGGGGUGCUCGAGUGGCGAACGGGUGAGUAACACGUGAGUAACCUGCCCUUGACUUUGGGAUAACUUCAGGAAACUGGGGCUAAUACCGGAUAGGAGCUCCUGCUGCAUGGUGGGGGUUGGAAAGUUUCGGCGGUUGGGGAUGGACUCGCGGCUUAUCAGCUUGUUGGUGGGGUAGUGGCUUACCAAGGCUUUGACGGGUAGCCGGCCUGAGAGGGUGACCGGCCACAUUGGGACUGAGAUACGGCACAGACUACUACGGGAGGCAGCAGUGCGGAAUAUUGCACAAUGGGCGGAAGCCUGAUGCAGCAACGCCGCGUGCGGGAUGACGGGCUUCGGGUUGUAAACCGCUUUCGCCUGUGACGAAGCGUGAGUGACGGUAAUGGGUAAAGAAGCACCGGCUAACUACGUG